AACGUAGGUUCCGAGCGUUAUCCGGAUUUACUGGGCGUAAAGCGCGUUCAGGCGGUUCGGCAAGUCAGGCAUGAAAUCUCUCGGCUCAACCGGGAGAGGUUGUCCGAUACUGCUGGACUUGAGGGCAGUAGAGGGUGGUGGAAUUCCGGGUGUAGUGGUGAAAUGCGUAGAUAUCCGGAGGAACACCAGUGGCGAAAGCGGCCACCUGGACUGCACCUGACGCUGACACGCGAAAGCUAGGGGAGCGAACGGG
rnacentral:rRNA from 1 species